GGGUUGUGAGGUUAAGCGACUAAGCGUACACGGUGGAUGCCCUGGCAGUCAGAGGCGAUGAAGGACGUGCUAAUCUGCGAUAAGCGUCGGUAAGGUGAUAUGAACCGUUAUAACCGGCGAUUUCCGAAUGGGGAAACCCAGUGUGAUUCGUCACACUAUCAUUAACUGAAUCCAUAGGUUAAUGAGGCGAACCGGGGGAACUGAAACAUCUAAGUACCCCGAGGAAAAGAAAUCAACCGAGAUUCCCCCAGUAGCGGCGAGCGAACGGGGAGCAGCCCAGAGCCUGAAUCAGUGUGUGUGUUAGUGGAAGCGUCUGGAAAGGCGUGCGAUACAGGGUGACAGCCCCGUACACAAAAAUGCACAUGCUGUGAGCUCGAUGAGUAGGGCGGGACACGUGGUAUCCUGUCUGAAUAUGGGGGGACCAUCCUCCAAGGCUAAAUACUCCUGACUGACCGAUAGUGAACCAGUACCGUGAGGGAAAGGCGAAAAGAACCCCGGCGAGGGGAGUGAAAAAGAACCUGAAACCGUGUACGUACAAGCAGUGGGAGCACAGAGCAAUCUGUGUGACUGCGUACCUUUUGUAUAAUGGGUCAGCGACUUAUAUUCUGUAGCAAGGUUAACCGAAUAGGGGAGCCGAAGGGAAACCGAGUCUUAACUGGGCGUUAAGUUGCAGGGUAUAGACCCGAAACCCGGUGAUCUAGCCAUGGGCAGGUUGAAGGUUGGGUAACACUAACUGGAGGACCGAACCGACUAAUGUUGAAAAAUUAGCGGAUGACUUGUGGCUGGGGGUGAAAGGCCAAUCAAACCGGGAGAUAGCUGGUUCUCCCCGAAAGCUAUUUAGGUAGCGCCUCGUGAAUUCAUCUCCGGGGGUAGAGCACUGUUUCGGCAAGGGGGUCAUCCCGACUUACCAACCCGAUGCAAACUGCGAAUACCGGAGAAUGUUAUCACGGGAGACACACGGCGGGUGCUAACGUCCGUCGUGAAGAGGGAAACAACCCAGACCGCCAGCUAAGGUCCCAAAGUCAUGGUUAAGUGGGAAACGAUGUGGGAAGGCCCAGACAGCCAGGAUGUUGGCUUAGAAGCAGCCAUCAUUUAAAGAAAGCGUAAUAGCUCACUGGUCGAGUCGGCCUGCGCGGAAGAUGUAACGGGGCUAAACCAUG
rnacentral:rRNA from 1 species